rnacentral:rRNA from 1 species
ACGGGGUGCAGCAGGCGCGAAAACUUUACAAUGCGAGCAAUCGUGAUAAGGGAACUCCGAGUGCCUGUAAAAUCAGGCUGUCCGCCAGUGUAAAUAACUGGUGAAGAAAGGGCCGGGCAAGACCGGUGCCAGCCGCCGCGGUAAUACCGGCGGCUCGAGUGGUGGCCACUAUUACUGGGCUUAAAGCGUUCGUAGCUGGUCUGUUAAGUCUCUGGGGAAAUCUUCCGGCUUAACCGGAAGGCGUCUCAGGGAUACUGGCAGACUAGGGACCGGAAGAGGUGAGAGGUACUCCAGGGGUAGGAGUGAAAUCCUGUAAUCCUUGGGGGACCGCCUGUGGCGAAGGCGUCUCACCAGGACGGCUCCGACAGUGAGGAACGAAAGCUGGGGGAGCAAACCGGAUUAGAUACCCGGGUAGUCCCAGCUGUAAACGAUGCGCGUUAGGUGUAUCGGUGACCACGAGUCACCGAGGUGCCGAAGAGAAAUCGUGAAACGCGCCGCCUGGGAAGUACGGUCGCGAGGCUGAAACUUAAAGGAAUUGGCGGGGGAGCAC